GCGGGGGUAGUCUAAUGGUAGGACGUCACCCUGCCACGGUGGCGAUGCGGGUUCGACUCCCGCCCCUCGCA
rnacentral:tRNA from 1 species